AUUGAACGCUGGCGGCAUGCCUUACACAUGCAAGUCGAACGGCAGCAUGAUCUAGCUUGCUAGAUUGAUGGCGAGUGGCGAACGGGUGAGUAAUACAUCGGAACGUGCCCUGUAGUGGGGGAUAACUAGUCGAAAGAUUAGCUAAUACCGCAUACGACCUGAGGGUGAAAGUGGGGGACCGCAAGGCCUCAUGCUAUAGGAGCGGCCGAUGUCUGAUUAGCUAGUUGGUGAGGUAAAGGCUCACCAAGGCGACGAUCAGUAGCUGGUCUGAGAGGACGAUCAGCCACACUGGGACUGAGACACGGCCCAGACUCCUACGGGAGGCAGCAGUGGGGAAUUUUGGGCAAUGGGCGAAAGCCUGAUCCAGCAAUGCCGCGUGUGUGAAGAAGGCCUUCGGGUUGUAAAGCACUUUUGUCCGGAAAGAAAUGGCUCUGGUUAAUACCUGGGGUCGAUGACGGUACCGGAAGAAUAAGGACCGGCUAACUACGUG
rnacentral:rRNA from 1 species